rnacentral:rRNA from 1 species
GCCUUGGGUGACAGCGGAGGUCAUUA